AGUAAGGGGCAGGGCCAGGACUCAACCCAGGACCCAGGCUGGCUUGGUCCAGAGCCCAUUAUUUUAUCCUCUGGACUCCACUGCUCUGUUUGGUGCACACGGCCUGGCGCACAGUAGCUGCUGAAUGAGUGAACGGCAAAUGGAUGGGUGUUCUCUGGAGGUGAGGUGCCAGGGCUGAGAACGGCGUGCCCUGAUUGUAAGAACAGUAGUAAGGCCACAGAGAGCACAGCUGCAUUGAUUGAAACAAAAUGCACACAUGACGAGACCAAAUUGUCUGGGGGCCAUAGACAGCCCACUGCCCAUCUGUUCCCUGUGCCACCCUGUUCCCAUUAAAUGUAAAAGUCAAGGAGCUGUCAGAUCAGAAACCAAGCCCCUCCUUAACGGUGUUUACAGAGAAGUAGAGAGCCACCCGGCCUCACUGAAGAAUGAUGGCUUUUAAAUCUGACAGUGUUUCCCUUCCAGGAAGUGAAUUUUUUGGUCCUGCAGGAAUCAUCUUCAAAGCCAGAGAACCUGGUUUAAGCACAGCAUUUAGAAGAAGCUAAUUGUGCCCUUGACUCCCACCAACCAGAUGGCUGGGCUGCCUUCCCUUUGCAGAGCCAGGGGCCUGCUUCACGCAGCUGUCCAAGCUGUGGGCUGAAAUCAAGAUGCUGGAAUUCAUCCUCUCUGCUCUUUCAUCCGCAGCCUCUGGGACCUGCGGUCCAGAGUCAAGUGUGAGGUGAGCCGCAGGGCCUGCGGCAGGCAAGGCCUCCCGAGCAAUUAGCUCCCGUGCCCAGACACUUGCUCCUUUUUAUGUUCCUAAUCUCUUUACCAGGAAUGCUCUGUAUUUUGUUCUGGGCUGUGCUAGUAGCAUCGCCGUCCUCAAAGGGCACCAGAAAAUCGGGUGUUUUCAAUGCCAAAGCUGUCAAGUCAAGCUUUGUGGACUGCAGCAUGGACAGAUGGGGUUAGGACAGCCAGAAGAGAGGAGAGACAACAGGGCAUGACAGUGUGGGAACACCAGAAAUCGAGUAGAAACCAGAACAUUCUAUUAGAUGAAGAAAAAGAAAAGUCUUUGGGCCUGUCAAAUUUUGUUGAUGUUUGGGAGCCACUGUGAUGGAGAACCAGAAAAAUAGGGCAUAUGGGGAGACAUUUCUCUUAUAGAGAAAAGAUGCUUUCCCCUAGAUUCUGAGAUUAUGAACCUGGAUCAAAUGUCUAGCUAUCAUUAACAGUGAUCAUCGCUGGUGGGAUUAUGUGUGUCUGUUUUCUUCCUUCUUUCUGAAUUUUUGGAAUGAUCAUAUAUUUCCUUGAAAUACUGGGAAAACCCCACACUUUAUGUUGAAAAGCAAAACAAAGUCUGGCUGUCCCCAUAAGGGUCCUCAGAACAACCCUAGUAUGUGCUCAACACAGCAUUUGGUGAAUGUUCUUCCCUGGAGGACCAAGGUCAGCCUCUGAGCCAGAGGAGCCCCCUCUCUAGCCCAGCCUUUUAGAGCUUUUGCAGAGAAAUGGCCCCCUUGUCACACUGUCCCCAACAGCCAGACACUGAUCUCAGAGUCAGUGUCCGGGCCAGUACUUGACAUUUGGUCUUUCUUAUCUCAGAUGAGGAUAAAAAAGACUGAGCAGGCAGGCUUGUGAGCAGUAAGUGACCCAAUCUGCACACACACACUGAGCCUGUAUCCGGUCUACGCAAAACAACCAAAGGCAAAAGACCGUUGUACCCUUCAAGCCUCGUUUUUACCAUCUUUCCCAAGUCCACUCACCCUGUUGUUCAGGUGGUUAUUCACAUUUUCCCUGAGUUCACUUUCAGUAACUCAUUACUUUUAGUUGUCUUAUCCUGAACAAUAAUACCUGUGAAACUGCAGCUUUGAUAUGGCAGUCACGUUUCCUAAAGGUACGUGGAAAUAAGUACAAAAUACUAAACACAAAACAUUUUCUGUACACCAUGUAAAAUAGUCUUUCACGCUCCCAGGGACCCAAGGCUCACACCAUGGGAACUACACCAUGGGAAAUGCUGCCUUUCACCUCCGAGCUCCUGUGUAGCUUCCAAACUGCGUUGCUGAUGCUCUAGGUGGGCUGCAGCGCAUCAGGGAUGAGGCUCCUGAGAGGUAAUUCUGCGGGGCCAGCAUCCCCCCGAAACCUUCCUGAGCCUGCACCAUGGAGCCAGCUCCUCCCAAAGCACGGCCAGAUGCAAGCCAGGGAAGAGGCCAGUCCACUCCCCUCCCUGCCAGCGGCCUUGGGCUCUGGCCUGUCCUCUCUCAGCCCACAGUCGGCAUCUUAUCAGGCUCAUUGCCUCCGACCAGCCUGGGACACUGACCCUCUCUCUCACUCUCCUAUCGGUUCUCCACAUAAAUCUCUCCCCACAAGGGCCUCAUUCAAAAUUCUAUCAUGCUUUCCAGUCACUAGAGUUGAGGUUUGUAAACUGAAUGUUUAGCCCACACAGGGUUCUCUCUUUUUAAAUGAAUGCCAUGUAUGUGAUUUUCAUGAAUAUUUAUGUAACACCUGUCAAGAUUAUGCCAAGAGCCCGGAAAAUAAAUGCCCUGUAGUUCUUCCUUAUCAUAAUGGCGAAGCUCAGGAUGGUGCUGGUUCAGACUAUCUUCUCUUUAUCCCACACCAUUUUGGUCCCAGGUGGUCUACUGUGCACUGGCCUCAUGCUACUGUUUGGAGAAGCUGCAGGAAUGUCCAUUGGACCUGAGCUCUUACCACGAGAAUGAAGCCUCUGAGUUUGGCUGCUUUCUCAGGAGGCUCUGUGCUCCUCCACUACACAGAUGGUGCUAAGUUUAAAAAUCCAGAUUAUUACACUUGAAAAAUGGAGUUAUCUGGUCACAGGGGUUCAUGUUCCCACGUGGUGGCCCCUAGGAGAGGCUGAGCAGCAGCUUCUCCCUGACUGAGGCAUUUGUCCUCCAAUUCACCACAGUCCUCACCACUCCCUAUUGUCUCCCGACAAUGAGGGGUACCAGCUGUUCCUCUUAGAGCAGAGUUGAGAACGGAGAAGGAUUUCUUUCUUUUUUUUUUUUUUCAGUUUUAUACCUUUAUUUAACAAUCAGGGAUCCCUGGGUGGUGCAGCGGUUUAGCGCCUGCCUUUGGCCCAGGGCGCGAUCCUGGAGACCCGGGAUCGAAUCCCACGUCGGGCUCCCGGUGCAUGGAGCCUGCUUCUCCCUCUGCCUGUGUCUCUGCCUCUCUCUCUCUCUGUGACUAUCAUAAAUAAAUAAAAAUUAAAAAAAAAAAAAAAAAA
rnacentral:lncRNA from 1 species